GAAGGAAGGAGCACACUAAAGCAGAAAUAUUGAAAAAAAAAAAAACAAGUUUCUCUUUUGGGACACUGCUCAUAAGAUAUCUGGGAUUGUCUUUUGACUUUCGAGAAAUGAAGUAAAAUGGAAUGUCAUCAACUUGUGAAGAAAAUUAAUCGAAAAAACAACAACUGCUUAUUCUAAGUGCCUUUCAUAUGCAGGAGGCUACAAAUUGUUAAUGCGCUGUUGUUUUCCAUUUACAAUUUUUGGGGCUCUGUGUUCAUAUUGCCACAGAGCAUUUUGAAAGCAGU
rnacentral:lncRNA from 1 species